UUGAACGCUGGCGGCAUGCCUAACACAUGCAAGUCGAACGAGAGUAGAGGGGCAACUCUUUACUUGAGUGGCGGACGGGUGAGUAAUACGUAGGAAUCUGCCCUAGAGUGGGGGACAACCCGAGGAAACUCGGGCUAAUACCGCAUAAUCUCUACGGAGGAAAGCAGGGGAUCGCAAGACCUUGCGCUUUAGGAGGAGCCUACGUCGGAUUAGCUAGUUGGUAGGGUAAAGGCCUACCAAGGCAAUGAUCCGUAGCUGGUCUGAGAGGACGACCAGCCACACUGGGACUGAGACACGGCCCAGACUCCUACGGGAGGCAGCAGUGGGGAAUAUUGGACAAUGGGGGAAACCCUGAUCCAGCAAUGCCGCGUGUGUGAAGAAGGCCUUCGGGUUGUAAAGCACUUUUAGUGGGGAAGAAAACCUCAAAGCUAAUAUCUUUGAGUUUGACGUUACCCACAGAAAAAGCACCGGCUAACUCUGU
rnacentral:rRNA from 1 species